UUCUUGUUUUUUCUCUGAGAAGCAACAGAUAUUCCGGAAUUUAUUUUGCCAUCGUAAUUCUUUUCAGUCAUUGUUUGUAAGAUGAAACAUCCGGUAAUUUAAUACGAGAAAAAAUCCAUCAUCAAACUUGAAGACGAAGGUCGAAAGAGAUUGUUCGAUGAAUUUAGGGGAUUUAAGAAUACAAUAAUUUAUUAGUGGACAGUCUGACCCUCAGGAUGCUACCCAAGAACAGUCCAGCCAAGCACAUCGUGACACGCCUGUCCCCCCACCUCCCCUCUUUCACCGACAUCUUCGACGAGGAGAGCUUCUACAUCACCUUCCUGCUACUGGCCGUCGGGAGCGUGAUGGCGGUUUACUUCCUGUCGCGGAGAGUAACUCUCAAGGACGCAGGUCACAUUGACUAACGAAGCGGAAUGUUUGUAGUGAGGGUCAAACUAACUGAACUGUUGCUGCAUUUUAUGAUGAGAAAACAGGACUCUGAUAUUGUAGAGGGAGAAAAGAACACAUGGAGAUUUUCACUUUAUGCUUGAAAUUUUUGUUUAGUUUACUCAGAACUAAAAUGAAACAAGCUAAACAUUUAAUGUGCAAUAUUGUGUGUCUGAGGGAAACUGUGGUUUUGUUUACAGUCUACUUGUCCAGGGUUGUUUCAAUUUGUUUUUGUACAUCUCUUGUGUUUCUGUUUUAUUUUGGCUUUUGUAUUUUUUAUAUGUAAUCUUACUACAGCAUAAUUUACUUUUACCAAAUACGUCAUUAUUCCCGUUUACAAAGAAGGUUGUAGCGUUACACAUUUUUCUUAUCAAAAUAAAACAUUCAAAAUAUUA